CUCAUUCUUGAUAUUCUCUCUCUCUCUCUCUCUCAAACAAAGUUUCAAGGUUAAAGUUGGCAAGGUUAGUUCUUCUUAAUUACAGAGAAAAAUGUAUAGGUCUCAGCCACAUCUUCAAUGGUUGUCCCUCAUCUUCUUGGUUGUGAUGCUCCCUCAUCUUCUUGGUUUCACUGUUCAAAAAUCUGAAGCUCGACCUCUGAAUCCAAACAUGGGGGUGGAGGGAAGAAAGAAUCCAUCAUCAUUUUCAUCAUUGGUCAAAGACCAAUACGUAGCCAAUAAAGGAGAGAAUUCAAGAGGUCCACCAGUUUUGUAUUCCCCUCCUUCCCAUAUCGGAAACCAUAAGAUGAGUGCAGGUCCGAGGGUUCAUGGUGGUGAUCAAUAUGUUCCACUUGAUAAAGGUCCAGUCCCACCUUCAGCCCCUAAUCCUAUCUCCCAUGAUGGAAUUGGCAACCCCUGAUUUAUAUGGGUAGUGGUGAAAAAUUUCCUGUUGGUGCAUGAAAAAAAGAACCAAGCUAUAAACAUUUAUUUCAUUAUUGCCUGUAAAUAUUGUUUCGUUUCAAGCUCUUGUAAAAACAGAUGUUAUAUAUUCUUUUGCUAGCUUCAGCAGUAAAACUACAUGAGCUUAUGCGAUA